rnacentral:rRNA from 1 species
UACGAAGGGGGCUAGCGUUGCUCGGAAUCACUGGGCGUAAAGCGCACGUAGGCGGACUCUUAAGUCGGUGGUGAAAUCCUGGAGCUCAACUCCAGAACUGCCUUCGAUACUGGGAGUCUCGAGUCCGGGAGAGGUGAGUGGAACUGCGAGUGUAGAGGUGAAAUUCGUAGAUAUUGGGAAGAACACCGGUGGCUAAGGCGGCGACCUGGACCAACACUGACGCUGAGGAGCGAAAGCCAGGGGAGCAAACGGG